rnacentral:rRNA from 1 species
UAAGGGCGCACGGUGGAUGCCUUGGCACUAGAAGCCGAUGAAGGACGUUACUAACGACGAUAUGCUUUGGGGAGCUGUAAGUAAGCUUUGAUCCAGAGAUUUCCGAAUGGGGAAACCCAGCAUGAGUUAUGUCAUGUUAUCGAUAUGUGAAUACAUAGCAUAUCAGAAGGCACACCCGGAGAACUGAAACAUCUUAGUACCCGGAG